CGUUGUUCGGAAUCACUGGGCUUAAAGGGCGCGUAGGCGGGUUCGAAAGUCUGUGGUGAAAGCCUCCAGCUUAACUGGAGAAGUGCCAUGGAUACUGCGAACCUGGAGGAGGGUAGGGGCAUCUGGAACGCUGGGUGGAGCGGUGAAAUGCGUUGAUAUCCAGCGGAACUCCGGUGGCGAAGGCGAGGUGCUGGACCCUUUCUGACGCUGAGACGCGAAAGCGUGGGGAGCGAACCGG
rnacentral:rRNA from 1 species